rnacentral:rRNA from 1 species
UACGUAGGGUGCGAGCGUUGUCCGGAAUUAUUGGGCGUAAAGAGCUCGUAGGCGGUCUGUCGCGUCUGCUGUGAAAACCCGAGGCUCAACCUCGGGCCUGCAGUGGGUACGGGCAGACUAGAGUGUGGUAGGGGUGACUGGAAUUCCUGGUGUAGCGGUGGAAUGCGCAGAUAUCAGGAGGAACACCGAUGGCGAAGGCAGGUCACUGGGCCACUACUGACGCUGAGGAGCGAAAGCAUGGGGAGCGAACAGG